AGCUCCAAUAGUAUAUAUUAGUGUUGUUGCAGUUAAAGCGCUCGUAGUUGGAUUUUGGGAUUGUUUGAUUGGUCCACCGAAAGGUGUGCACUGAUCGAAUUGUUCUUCCUUCUGAAGAACUUGCAUUCUCUUUACCGGGUGUGCAAGCAAUUCAGGACAUUUACUUUGAAAAAAUUAGAGUGUUCAAAGCAGGCCUAAGCUUGAAUACAUUAGCAUGGAAUAAUAAAAUAGGACUUUGGUUCUAUUUUGUUGGUUUUUCGGAACUGAAGUAAUGAUUAAUAGGGAUAGUUGGGGCCAUUAGUAUUUUCAAGUCAGAGGUGAAAUUCUUGGAUUUUGGAAAGACUAACUUCUGCGAAAGCAUUUGGCAAGGAUGUUUUCAUUAAUCAAGAACGAAAGUAGG
rnacentral:rRNA from 1 species